rnacentral:lncRNA from 1 species
UUCUGGUUUAGAGGAGGGGGUGUUGGGGGUGGGGUGGGGGUGGGAGUGGUGGGCGUGGGUGGGUGGGGGGACAAAAGAAAAAAAAAAAAAAAAACCAAACCCGAGGAGAACUAGGCGGCUUUCUGAUCAGAGUUCAAAUAAAGAGGGUCACAGUCAUUUUCGGGCACUGCCUAAAAUAACCCGACGGGUUAGAGAGCUCCAGCAAAAGAGGCAAACUGACAAACUAAAAAAGCGCGGGAACAAUGCAGCAUUCAGGCAUAAUGAGCUGAAAGUGCCCGGUGCGCCAGGUCAAGUCAGCAGCCUCUGAGCUCCUCUCCAAGAUCCCGUUUGCCAAGGUAGGCCACGGAAAGGUCUCAUUUCAAAGGAAGGUCUGUGCUUAGGCAGGGAAAAUUGCAACAAGUCAAAAUAUGGAAAGCUGGGCACGCCAGACUGGUGGGUUUCGGCGACAUACAGAGAGCUGUGCUAAAACCCGCGCCAGACACCUGGUUCCUGGGACGUCGGCAGCUAGCCAUGAACGAGCUG